CCAUCGGUGGUUCAGUGGUAGAAUGCUCGCCUGUGGCAGGGUUCGAUUCCCGGCCGAUGCA
rnacentral:tRNA from 1 species